AGAGUUUGAUCCUGGCUCAGGACGAACGCUGGCGGCGUGCCUAACACAUGCAAGUCGAGCGAUGAAGCCCUUCGGGGUGGAUUAGCGGCGGACGGGUGAGUAACACGUGGGUAACCUGCCUCAAAGAGGGGGAUAGCCUCCCGAAAGGGAGAUUAAUACCGCAUAAUAUUAGUUUUUCGCAUGAAGAACUAAUUAAAGGAGUAAUCCGCUUUGAGAUGGACCCGCGGCGCAUUAGCUAGUUGGUGAGGUAAAGGCUCACCAAGGCGACGAUGCGUAGCCGACCUGAGAGGGUGAUCGGCCACAUUGGAACUGAGACACGGUCCAGACUCCUACGGGAGGCAGCAGUGGGGAAUAUUGCACAAUGGGCGAAAGCCUGAUGCAGCAACGCCGCGUGAGUGAUGAAGGCCUUCGGGUUGUAAAGCUCUGUCUUUGGGGACGAUAAUGACGGUACCCAAGGAGGAAGCCACGGCUAACUACGUGCCAGCAGCCGCGGUAAUACGUAGGUGGCGAGCGUUGUCCGGAUUUACUGGGCGUAAAGGAUGCGUAGGUGGAUGUUUAAGUCAGAUGUGAAAUACCCGAGCUUAACUUGGGUGCUGCAUUUGAAACUGGAUAUCUAGAGUGCAGGAGAGGUAAGUGGAAUUCCUAGUGUAGCGGUGAAAUGCGUAGAGAUUAGGAAGAACACCAGUGGCGAAGGCGACUUACUGGACUGUAACUGACACUGAGGCAUGAAAGCGUGGGUAGCAAACAGGAUUAGAUACCCUGGUAGUCCACGCCGUAAACGAUGAGUACUAGGUGUAGG
rnacentral:rRNA from 1 species